AACGAACGCUGGCGGCAUGCCUAACACAUGCAAGUCGAACGAGACCUUCGGGUCUAGUGGCGCACGGGUGCGUAACGCGUGGGAACCUGCCCUUAGGUUCGGAAUAACUCCCCGAAAGGGGUGCUAAUACCGGAUAAUGUCUUCGGACCAAAGAUUUAUCGCCUUUGGAUGGGCCCGCGUUGGAUUAGCUAGUUGGUAGGGUAAAAGCCUACCAAGGCGACGAUCCAUAGCUGGUCUGAGAGGAUGAUCAGCCACACUGGGACUGAGACACGGCCCAGACGCCGAGGGGAGGAAGCAGGGGGGAAUAGGGGACGAGGGGCGAAACCCAGAUCCAGCAGGGGCGGGUGAGGGAUGAAGGCGUGUGGGUUGUAAAGUGCUUGUACACGGAAUGAUAAUGACAGGACCGGGAGAAUAAGCUCCGGCUAGCCCCGUGCCAGGAGCCGCUGAAAUAAUCGGCGACACACUCCUGACC
rnacentral:rRNA from 1 species